GCCGGGCGCAGUGGCACGUGCCUGUAGUCCCAGCUACUCGGGAGGCUGAGGUGGAAGGAUCGCUUGAGCCCAGGAGUUCUGGGCUGCAAUAAGCUAUGCCGAUCAGGUGUCUGCACUAAGUUCGGCAUCGAUAUGGUGACUGGGAGCAAAGGACCACCAGGUUGCCUAAGGAGGGGUGAACCAGCCCAGGUCGGAAACGGAGCAGGUCAAAACUCCCAUGCUGAUCAGUAGUGGAAUCGUGCCUGUGAAUAGCCACUGCACUCCAACCUGGGCAACAUAGCGAGACCCUGUCUUU
rnacentral:SRP_RNA from 1 species